CCUACGGGUGGCAGCAGUGAGGAAUAUUGGUCAAUGGACGGAAGUCUGAACCAGCCAUGCCGCGUGCAGGAAGACGGCUCUAUGAGUGGUAAACUGCUUUUGUACAAGGGUAAACCUGAAUACGUGCAUUCAGCUGAAAGUAUUGUACGAAUAAGGAUCGGCUAACUCUGUGCCAGCAGCCGCGGUAAUACGGAGGAUCUAAGCGUUAUCCGGAUUUAUUGGGUUUAAAGGGUGUGGAGUCGGAUUAAUAAGUUUGACGUGAAAUGUCCGAGCUUAACUCUGGAACUGCCUCUAAUACUGUUGAUCUAGAGAGUAGAUGCGGUAGGCGGAAUGUAUGGUGUAGCGGUGAAAUGCUUAGAGAUCAUACAGAACACCGGUUGCGAAGGCAGCUUACCAAUCUAUAUCUGACGUUGAGGCACGAAAGCGUGGGGAGCAAACAGGAUUAGAUACCCCGGUAGUC
rnacentral:rRNA from 1 species